AAGAUCAUACUUUUAGGGAUCAUUUCUAAAGGUAGUCUUGCCGAGACGUCGAGUUAAUCUGGACGGCCCGAAAACCACGAUGACGAGAUUGAGUCUCUACUUCUGAGCGUGAAGUCGAUCACGAAACAGUUGCUAGCUCUCGCAACAGUUUCACUGAUCAUUGGGGAUCGUUCCUCUCCUCCAUUAGUGAGGAGACGGAGGAAGUAGAGGCAAUCCGAGUGGU
rfam:Biomphalaria glabrata isolate BB02 unplaced genomic scaffold LGTN_random_Scaffold7412, whole genome shotgun sequence.